UUUGGAGAGUUUGAUCCUGGCUCAGAGUGAACGCUGGCGGCAUGGUUAAGACAUGCAAGUCGAACGAAACACAAGUCUUCGGAUUUGUAGACAGUGGCGAACGGGUGCGUAACACGUGAGCAACCUGCCCUUGAGUAUGGAACAGCCCGCCGAAAGGUGGAUUAAUGCCGUAUGUGGCCUUUUAACUCAUGUUAAAAAAGCUAAAGCUUGUAAUGGCGCUCAAGGAUGGGCUCGCGGCCUAUCAGCUUGUUGGUGAGGUAACGGCUCACCAAGGCUUAGACGGGUAGCUGGUCUGAGAGGAUGAUCAGCCACACCGGGACUGAGACACGGCCCGGACACCUACGGGUGGCAGCAGUUUCGAAUCAUUCACAAUGGGCGAAAGCCUGAUGGUGCAAUGCCGCGUGGGGGAUGAAGGCCUUAGGGUCGUAAACUCCUGUCAUUGGGGAACAACAAGCAGGUUUAUAGCCUGCCCUGAGUUAACCCAAAGAGGAAGAGGUGGCUAACUCCGUGCCAGCAGCCGCGGUAAUACGGAGACCUCGAGCGUUACUCGGAUUUACUGGGCGUAAAGGGUGAGUAGGCGGCUAGAUAUGUCAAGUGUGAAAUCCCGGGGCUCAACCUCGGAACUGCGCCUGAAACUAUCUAGCUAGAGUCUCGGAGAGGAUAGUGGAAUUCCAGGUGUAGCGGUGAAAUGCGUAGAUAUUUGAAGGAACACCAGUGGCGAAGGCGACUAUCUGGACGAGUACUGACGCUCAAUCACGAAAGCGUGGGUAGCGAAAGGGAUUAGAUACCCCUGUAGUCCACGCCGUAAACGUUGCACACUAGGUUUCGGAGGAUUCGACCCCUUCAGGGCCCAAGCUAACGCGAUAAGUGUGCCGCCUGAGGACUACGGCCGCAAGGCUAAAACUCAAAGGAAUUGACGGGGGCCCGCACAAGCGGUGG
rnacentral:rRNA from 1 species